rnacentral:lncRNA from 1 species
CCGAUUGGAAAAGGGUUGUUUGAGAGAAAGAAAAGGGUUAGAAAGGGAUUUUUUUAAAAAAAACAAGGGUAAAAUGAUUUUUUUUAUUUUUUUACUUAUAUAGGGUUAUAAUACGACGCUGUUUUGGGUUUAACCUUCAAACGCCCAAAACGACGUCGUUUUGGCGCGACCCAAGACCUGACCUGAAUAUUAGCAAGAUCCGCGUGUUUUCGCGACAAGGCCUAAUUACAGCCUUAGUCCUUUCGCUUUUUAAACGCUUUUCAAUAUAGUCUUAUUUCUGUCUUUUUUUCUUUUUAAAAUUUAUACCGUUUAAUUCUGAUUUUUUAUUUAUUUUGGUCCCUCUGGAAAACGUGCGCAUUAUGAGGUUGGGAAUAUUUUUCCAAUCGGCCCCUUUUUUUUGUGUGUUAUAUUUUAGUCCUUUAUUUUGCUUUACUCAUUUAUUUAUUUUAUAUAAUUCAUUAGUUAAAUUUCAAUUUAAUCACCCAUUUAUUUAAUCUCACAUCUUUAAUUGCCUUUUGUAAGGCCCAAAUUUUGCUCGGGGCCUAAUAAAACCAAACCUAAUUUCAACCUUAGGCAGAGCCCAAAUAAAAAAAAAUUCCAAAAAAAAUAAUAAAACAGUCCAAUUAAUAAUACAUGGCCCAAAUUAAAACCCCCAUCGGCCCACAACCUAAACUAACCCUACCAGUCCACUAUCUCAAAAAUUUUCAGCAGACUACAAACUCAACCCCCACGUCAGCACUCCAGACAGGAUCCCCGUAUACCCCGCUCCAUGUUUUCGCCCAUGUUUCACGCCCCUCAUUCUCCACAACUUCAACACCUGCAAUUUGAGCAAAGAAAUAGGUAGAAAAUGUAUGGUUUUUGGCUAUAAAGGCUUCAAUUUUUCAUAGUAAAAGGGGGAUCCAAAAAUUGUAUCACUCGCGUAUUUUUCAAGGAAUCAAACAAAAAACACACAGAAGGUUGAUCUCCGAUUUUGUUCUCUUUAUUUUCGUUUUUCGUUUUCUUGCUUUUUUAAUAUUUCUUUUAUUUUUUAUACAAAUCUAUUAAACAAAGAUACAAAAAAUAAAAAAAAAUAAAAGGAAAGAGGAAGGAUUCUUACCAGAUCUGGCCCCGUCGCCGCGUUAUCGGAGCCUUCCCCUCCGUUCGACGUGGUUGAGUCUAAAAAGGGGGUUGAACCCUUGUCUUUUCGUUUUUGGAACUAGCCUCCAACAAGUAAAAAAGGGGAGAGCUAAAGGAGCCUAUUUUGGUGUAUCGCCGGCCACCGAGUGCGGUGGUGGCGCGGCGGUUGAAAGGCGGCAAUGAUGGGUUUCUUUGAAACCCUAGCAGAAAAUAAAAGAGAAGGGAAAGGGGGAGAGAGCAGGGAAACUCUCUGUUCUUUUUGUUUAAAGUUGGGGGAAGGCUGGUAAUGGAAUAAUAAAAUAAAAAAUAAAAAAAUGGAAAGUUGGUAAUGGAAUAAAAAAGGGAAAG